rnacentral:rRNA from 1 species
GGAUCGGCUAACUACGUGCCAGCAGCCGCGGUCAUACGUAGGGUCCGAGCGUUAUCCGGAGUGACUGGGCGUAAAGAGUUGCGUAGGCGGUUGUAUAAGUGAAUAGUGAAAUCUGGUGGCUCAACCAUACAGGCUAUUAUUCAAACUGGCAAACUCGAGAGUGGUAGAGGUCACUGGAAUUUCUUGUGUAGGAGUGAAAUCCGUAGAUAUAAGAAGGAACACCGAUGGCGUAGGCAGGUGACUGGACCAUUUCUGACGCUAAGGCACGAAAGCGUGGGGAGCGAACCGGAUUAGAUACCCGGGUAGUCCACGCCGUAAACGAUGGAUACUGGCUGUUGGAGGUAUCGACCCCUUCAGUAGCGAAGCUAACGCGUUAAGUAUCCCGCCUGUGGAGUACGGCCGCAAGGCUAAAACAUAAAGGAAUUGACGGGGACCCGCACAAGCGGUGGAUCGUGUUCUUUAAUUCGAUGCUAAACGAAGAACCUUACCAGGGCUUGACAUCCAGGGAAUUUUUGGGAAACCAAUUAGUGCCGUUUGGAACCCUGUGACAGGUGAUGCAUGGCCGUCGUCAGCUCGUGUCGUGAGAUGUUUGGUUAAGUCCAUCAACGAGCGCAACCCUUGUGUCUAGUUGUAUUUUUCUAGACAGACUGCUUCGGUAACGGAGAGGAAGGAGGGGAUGAUGUCAGGUCAGUAUUUCCCUUACGUCCUGGGCUAGAAACACGAUACAAUGGCUAGUACAAUGCGCAGCGAAGCCGCGAGGUGAAGCAAAUCGCAUCAAAGCUAGUCCCAGUUCGGAUUGGAGGCUGAAACUCGCCUCCAUGAAGUCGGAAUCGCUAGUAAUCGCAAAUCAGCAAGUUGCGGUGAAUACGUUCCCGGGUCUUGUACACACCGCCCGUCAAACCAUGAAAGUGACCAACACCCGAAGUCCGAUUCGUCGGCCUAAGGUGGGGGGCAUGAUUGGGGUUAAGUCGUAACAAGGUAUCCGUACCGGAAGGUGCGGAUG